ACAACACAGGACCGUCGGUCUACCGAGCAAUUUCACCCGCUCGGUGAAAGAUCUUCCCUUUGUCGU
rnacentral:pre_miRNA from 1 species